rnacentral:miRNA from 1 species
GUCGAUAUUCGACGUCAUAAACACGAUCAACUUUGGUGUUUAUGACGUCGAUAUUCGACGUAAUACACCCGAUCAACUUUGGUGUUGAUGAUGUCGAUACUCGACGUCAUAAACACGAUCAACUUUGGUGUUUAUGACGUCGAUAUUCAACGUCAUAAACACGAUCAACUUUGGUGUUUAUGACGUCGAUAUUCGAAGUA